rnacentral:rRNA from 1 species
CGCGACCCCAGGUCUGGCGGGGUUACCCG